UCUCCGUAGGUGAACCUGCGGAGGGAUCAUUAUAGAGUUCUCGCCCUCGCGGGUAGAUCUCCCACCCACUGUUAUCGUUACUGUGUUGCUUUGGCGGGCCGCCGGGCCCCGCUCGGCCGCCGGCUCCGGCUGGCGCGCGCCCGCCAGAGGCCCAGCAAACUCUGAAUGUUAGUGUCGUCUGAGUACUAUAUAAUAGUUAAAACUUACAACAACGGAUCUCUUGGUUCUG
rnacentral:misc_RNA from 1 species